UACGGAGGGUGCAAGCGUUAUCCGGAUUCACUGGGUUUAAAGGGUGCGUAGGAGGGCAGGUAAGUCAGUGGUGAAAUCUCCAAGCUUAACUUGGAACUGCCGUUGAUACUAUCUGUCUUGAAUACCGUGGAGGUGAGCGGAAUAUGUCAGUGUAGCGGUGAAAUGCUUAGAUAUGACAUAGAACACCAAUUGCGAAGGCAGCUCGCUACACGAAUAUUGACUCGUG
rnacentral:rRNA from 1 species